UUCUUUUUUUUUUUAACCUAGUGUUCUUACUUGAAACUGAAUAUCUGUCUGAUGGAUUUAUUUGUCUUUUUUUGUCACAAUACAAAAAUUAACUUCAACUAUAUUGUGAUCAUGUUAACAGCGGCUAACUCACUACUAACUCUUGAGUGAGGUCCUGUGCAACCCUUGAGACCAAGUUGAGGGUCAUGUCUAUGUUUUUUCCCCAGUUUCUGAGACAAGCUGAUGUAAGAAGGAUCUUUUUAUUGAAUUUAAAAAAAAAUAUUUCUGCAUCUCAUCCUGAUGAGGCACUGAGCUAUAUAUCUAGAUAGUUAAAAUAUAUUAUCAUUCUAUUUAUCUUCAUUGCAGUUUCUUCAGUUUCACUGAAGAAAAUGCUACAGUUUUACUAUUUUACUAAGUGCUGGAUUUCAUUCACAUAGAUUCCUCAAUGCUCAUCUUUUCCCAAAAUAUUAUAUCAUAUUUGAACUCAGCAUCAUCCUUCCUGUACUAUGCCUCUCCCAUACCCUAAUAUCCUCUCUGUACUUCCUAUAAAAUUUAUGUCCUAGCACCAUAAUAACCUUGUUUACUUCCCUUCAACCAGUCUUUGUGAUAUUUCUUCUGUCAAAUUUGCCACUGGUGCCAAGUAUUCAAAUUUUUUUCUAUCAUCUUAUAUUUUAGGUUUCUAUUAUUGUUGUAGAAGCAACUAUAAUUUCUGUCCUUGCUUGGUAUUGCACAUGCUACUCAACUGACACCUUAAGGAAUCUGAUUUGUGUUCUCCAUUUAUUGCAAUUCUUUAUUUAUAUCCCUCCUGGCUUUUUUGGAGGUGCAUUGAACAUUAGACACAUUCUCUAUGAGAAUUGCAUCAGACUGAACCAAGUGCUCCUCAGUGCCUGUCUGCUGUCCCUCCUCUUUUAGUUUAGAUAACCCUCUAUAAUAAUUUUAGUUUUCAGUGCCUUUUGGUUAAAGUAAAGCCUAUUUUUCUAGGAUAGAGCAUUCUCAAAACACUUACCAGUUUCUAGUCAAACAAAUCCCUCUCUUCUACACCUUUGAGUCAACCAUGUCCUGAGAGUCUGGACUUCUGCCCAUCCUGUGGGCUUUACACUGGAAUUGGCAGUAUUUCAAAGCAGACAGGUCAUGGAGGCCAGUCUCCCAGACAGCAGCUUGCAUAUGCCAUGAAGGCUGUUUCUUUUCCACUUCCUCCUGUAGAUGUUAUCAACAUGGACCAAGACCAAUAGCUCAUUCCCUGCUUCUCAAACCAACCUAAUCAAAGCAAACUAAGACCUUGUGAGGUCUGCUGCCUUUGCACCCCACAGGCAAAAUACUGUGUGAUCCUCUCCAGUGACGAAAACUCACCUAUCCACAUGCCUAUGAAGAAAUUCUCCUGUUCCCACCACCUGCUUCUCCCAGCCCUGAAGUCCCCGCAGUGCAGGAGUGCCCACAGCACAGGAAGACAUCAUGGCACCAGCUGGGUACUGGAUCUUAACCAAGAGCUCUCCUUCCCUGAGACUUGCAUCCUCCUCAGCAAUAUGAGGUUCUGAGUGGAAGCAGGGGUGUCCCCAUGGGCCUCAUUUGAGAACCACUCUGACUCUGCUAACUGCUUCCAUUCAGCUUCUCUCAGCUCAGGAGAACAGCCCUAUUCUCUUGGGGCCAGGAGGGUUAUGCAUCCCAUCCACAGGUAAAACUUGUCCACUCAGAAGACACUCUAACCCACCACGCUCCAUGCAAGGGAUGAGGGAGCUGCCAGUUU
ensembl:lncRNA